ACGGAAAAAAGACCGACACGCUAUACCUGCUGCCUUCCUUAGUCCCUCAACCUUCCUUGAACGUAAGUUUAUGUGCUGUUCCCAAAGGUGACACUCUUGCACCGCCACACACUAUUGUCACUCUUACGUUUGCCCGAUAGGUUUUACACCUGCUAUUUUUCUUCCUUUCAUGUUAACACUAUAUAUAAGUGGUGUUCCCUAAGGACACUCUCUGAUUGGACACCGCUGACUGGAAGUAUCGAGGUCCUCAGCCAUGCAUAUGUGAAGGGACAGGACUUACUCAACACGGAAAAGUAGUAAUGGAAAGGGGAAAUGUGAGAUUUGUUAGUAGGUGUGCGUGAAGGGACUGGACUUGCUCGUAACACGAAGUUGUAAUGGAAAGGGGAACAUGUGAGAUUAUAUUUUGCUGGAGAUAGUAGGCGUGCGUGAAGGGACUGGACUUGCUUUUAUAUGCACGGAAAAGUUGUAAUGGAAAGGGGAACAAGAGAGAUUUGCUCGAGAUAGUCGGCGUGCAUGUGGCUCAUUGCGCGGGUUGAACUGUCUGUCCCUUGGGUUAUAAUGUUCAUGGUGUGGCAUUAUGGACCUAUCUUAACCUAUGACGAGAGAGAUAAAGGGCCUUGCUAAUGUGCGUACGUAUAUAUGUAUCUCUCUUCUUCCAGCACUACCAUGAAGACCCUGCUGGCUACGAUGGCGUUGGUGGCGGCGGUGGCGGCGGUGUGCGCGUACCACCCGUGCUGUCCCAAAGACUUUAACCUCGCCGCAGCCACGUUCCCUGCCGGAGAGGCUCCCAAAGCGUGCCAGACUGACGCGGAAUGUUGCGGCGGGACUUUUUGCUGCCCGGCUGAAGGCUCAUCAUCGGACCUGUACGUGCCUCGCGCCUCAGUCAAACGGCCCACAGGAUUUGUGAAACAGCAGACCCAGCGGUAGCGCGGAGAGAAACGGCAACGACCCACGGAUCUCAGCAGUAGCAGCGGCCAGAGUGCGGAAAGGAAUGACAACGGCCCACGGGAUUUAAGAGAGAGCAGACCCAGCGACAGUGCGGAAAGGAAUGACAACGGCCCGCAGGAUUUAAGAGAGAGAGAGCAGACCCAGCGAUAGUGCGGAGAGGAAUGCAUGACAACGGCCCAGUCACCGUCACAGCCCACAGGAUUUAAGAGACGUGAUGACACAAACUGGGAAGCUGUAGCUAUUAAUUAAUUAACGCUUUUUUGAGUUUGUCAAUCGUUAACGUGUUGAUGUUAAUAAAUGUCAGCUAGGUUACUAAGAGUCGUGAGUGGAGUGGACAACUAUGGUCAUUAAUUAUUAACGCCUUUUCGAGUUAGACAAACGUUAAGGUGUUAGGUUACUAGAGCCGCGAUUGUAUAAGCUGUAAUCAUUAACUUAUUUAGGAGCAAUUAUCUAUCAUUAACGUACUGAUUAGGAUAAGACAGUGAUAAUGUAUAAGCCUCAGUUACUACGUGGUAUUUUUUGGGCUCAUUUGUGAACUUUUCGUGAAAAUUAGAUCAUGUUUCAGUAAAUAUCAAUGCAACGAAAGUACAGUGUGUGUGUGUGUGUGUGUGUGUGUGUGUGUGUGCUUUCCUUUUCCUCGUCCAAAAAUAAAGAGAGAGAAAAAUGAAAAAAAGAACUUACGAGAAAGGGAAGGAAAGGAAGGAAAGAAGCAAAGGAGGAAAGAUAAGGUCAAUAUAAAUAGUGAAAUAAGUGAGAAGGAAAGAAAGGAAGGAAAAGAAGAACAAAUAUAGUCUUAAGAGAAAGAAGAAAGAAUAGAAAAAAAGAAAGGAAGGAAAGGAGAAGAAGGAAAGAAAGGAGGAAAAGUAGACAAAUGAGAGAGAGAGAGAGAGAGAGAGAGAGAGAGAGAGAGAGAGAGAGAGAGAGAGAGAGAGAGAGAGAGAGAGAGAGAGAGAGAAGUCGAAAAGGAGGAGGAAGAAGACGAAAGGAAGGAAGUAGAGGAAAGGAAUAAAUGAAGCUCAAAAUAAGGAAAAAUUACAAUAAUAUCACUUACCCAAUUCUCAAAAUGAAGAAGAAAUAGAUGGUUAAUUAAGCCGAAGAAGAGGAAGAGGAGGAGAAGGAAGAAGACGAAAGGAAAGAAGUACAGAACAAUGAACUAUCAUCAACAUUUAACUACUACUACUGCUGCUACUACUAAUACAACACUACUACUGCUACUAUUUUUUUUUAUAGAAGUGGUAGUAGUUGUAAUAGUAGUAGUUAACUGUUGAUGAUAGUUCAUUUAGAGAGAAGGAAUGAGAGAAGAAAAAAAAAACGAAAGAAAGAAAAUGUAAGAGAAAAAACGAGAUAACUGAAAGAAAAAAAGAAUAAGAGAAAGAAUGACAAACAGUAAGACAGACAGACAGAAAGGAAAGAAGAGAAAAGGAAGGGAGAAAAUAAAUUCUUAUGGGAGAGAAGGAAUUAAGGAAAGAAAAGGGAGAAAAAAGUUUGAGAUGCGAGACAGAAAGAAAAUAAGAAAAAAUGGAGACCACGGAGAAGGUUCUAUCACUCCCUUUUAUUUCCUUCCUUUCGUCAAUCUCACACAAUAACCCACUCACGCACACCACAUCAUAUCACCCUUAUUCAUAGCCUACUAAACACAUGCGAAGUCUUUAUACUACUACUCUUGAACAGGGCAGGAUAGGAUAGGUUAGGUUAAGUUAGGUUAUGUAAAGUUUCGUUGCUACUCUUGAACACGGCAGGAUAGGAUAGGUUAGGUAAGUUAGGUAAUGUAAAGUUUCGUUGCUACUCAUGAACAGGGCAGGAUAGGAUAGGUUAGGUUAAGUUUGGUUAUGUAAAGUUUCGUUGCUACUUAUGAACAGGGCAGGAUAGGAUAGGUUAGGUUAAGUUAGGUUAUGUAAAGUUUCGUUGCUACUCAUGAACAGGGCAGGAUAGGAUAGGUUAGGUUAAGUUAGGUUAUGUAAAGUUUCGUUGCUACUCUUGAACACGGCAGGAUAGGAUAGGUUAGGUUAAGUUAGGUUAUGUAAAGUUUCGUUGCUACGCUUGAACAGGGCAGGAUAGGAUAGGUUAGGUUAAGUUAGGUUAUGUAAAGUUUCGUUGCUACGCUUGAACAGGGCAGGAUAGGAUAGGUUAGGUUAAGUUAGGUUAUGUAAAGUUUCGUUGCUACGCUUGAACAGGGCAGGAUAGGAUAGGUUAGGUUAAGUUAGGUUAUGUAAAGUUUCGUUGCAGCUAGAACAGAUAAUUUAGAGUGGGAAUCACAAUGAGAGUAUUUUCCAGAACUGCUCGUGGUUAGUUUCGAAUUUACAGGCGAUCGAGCGUCUUCACUCAGGGACCAUAUACCCGUACAGGCUUCGGGAAUAUGCAGCCCGGGUCGCUGUCCUCGUCUUAUAAGUCCUUUCUUUCAACUAUAUAUUUUUUUCUUUGGACUCUACCACACUGUAAGACGCUGUUGCACGGAAAAUAAAUGAUACAAGAGGAAUGCACGAAUGAUCUGAGUAUGAAGAAAUGAAGGUGGAGUAUGUGUGGGCGUAUUGGAAAGUUAACAUAAGUGGUAGAAGUAGACUAUUUUGGUAACUGCCCUUUCUUCUUCCCAUUCAUAAAAGAGGAAGGGGUUAACGAAAUGAAGGGAAUGACAUUAUGAUGAUAAAAGAGGAAUUAAGGUGAUAUGUAUCUAAGUCAACCUUUAAAUACAGCACUACGUUUUCUAUUGUCUUGAAAGGAUCCAAUUCCUUACUGAGUAGCAGAACACAACAGAAGGGAAAUAAUGUUACGCAUGAGAGAAGGGAAAGAAAGGAAAGAAGGGAAGACCAAAGGAAGGAAGUAGAGGAAAGGAAUAAAUCAAGCUCUAAAUAAGGAAAAAUAACAUUACUGACCCCUAUACCUAUAUCCAGGGUUGGAAUAAUUACAAUUCAAAAUCUUAAUUACAAUUACAAUUACAUUAUUAAAACUUUAAAUUGCAAUUAUAAUUACAAUUACUCAUGUGAAGAUCAAUUACAAUUACUACGAGACAGUCAAUUAUAAUUACAAUUAUAAUUACUCAGCUUCCAACAGUAAGCUUUGGUUGAAAAGAAAAACACUAGCAUCGUGCUGUUGUCAUUUAUUGAAAAAUUACAACACUAGCUUGCACAAUAACUAAAUUAAGAAUUUCCUAUGAUUAAAGGUAUUUGCUCGUUUAAAUAAACAGCGGUGCAACUAGCUAUGUAAAUAGGAAAAACAAACAAACCUUUACAAUAGAAAGUCAAGAGGAGGACUUUGCCGUAUGACGGUCUAGGAAGCAAUGAAAUAUGUCCCAGUCCACCAAACAGGGAAAAGUGGACGCGUCUGAUUCUCGUAUAAUACGUAGGUUGUCCAGUAAGGGUUGCCCUUUUUGUCAAAAGCUACUUGCAACCUACUGACAAAACACCAAGAAACAGUAACGUUGAACAUUUGUGCGUGCGAGUAAACAUUGCAAAAGUCAAUUUAAAUAUAUCUGUCACUUACAGGCCUCCGGGGCAAUCACUUGAUGGCGAUCUUGAAAUGUACAGCGUCUUAAGGCAGUCACUUAAUAACAGCGACUCACUGAUACUAGGAGACUUUAACCUCCCCCAUAUCGACUGGGCGACACUGUCGGGUACAGAAGGUGAGUCCCAUAGAAUGAUCGAAUUUCUAGAGGAAAAUUAUCUAAGCCAAAUGGUUUCUGAACCAACUCGACAAAAUAACAUACUUGACCUUGUUAUAGCGACCCAAGAUAACCUAGUCAGUAAUGUCACGGUAGGAGAACACCUCGGUUCCUGCGAUCAUAAACUAGUGCGCGUUGACAUUAGAGCUCAAACAUCGGUGACUGAAAAUAAAGUUAAGGUGCCCAAUUUCAAAAGAGCCAACUUCGUAGAAAUCCGACGAAAACUAAUAGAUAUGCAACUAUCAGAUGACGGCAAUGCAGAGGACGCCUGGCUAAACUUUAAAAAUCACUUACUCACUCAGCAGGACACAUUUGUACCCUUGUGCGAGAAGCGAAUUAACACUAAUAAAAGUCCACCGUGGUUUAAUAGCGAAAUUAAACACUCAGUCAAGGAGAGAAAAUUGUCUUACAGGUUAAAGAAAGACCAAAGCACGCCCGAAAACAUUAGACUUUACAAUGAUGCAAGGCGACGAGUAAAAAGAUUAGUGCAUCAGGCAAAGCGUAGAUAUGAAGAAAAUAUUGCAGCCAACUGUAAAAAUAAUCCGAAAUCCUUCUUCAGUUACAUAAACAACAGAAAGGCGAUCAGAAGUGGAAUUGGACCUUUAACAAACAGCGACGGUGCACUAUAGUGACUGACAGCCAACACGUUGCAAACCUAUUAAAUAAUUACUUUUCCUCGGUGUUUAAUAAUAACAGU